rnacentral:misc_RNA from 1 species
CAAAACAUGAAUAUAAAUCACACUUCUACAUGCUAUGUAAAGAUAAAUAAAUCCACAACUUAUUUCAAUAAAACAAAUGGGUGGUCAAUUACAGAAGCGUACUUAACAAUUAUAAAGAAAUAAUCCAUCCACUGAAGCAAGAAUGAUUAGAGGAGCAACAGAUGCAGUGUAUACCAUCUAGAACUAAUCACAGAAAAAUGCAUGGAAGAAGACACAAACAAAUAAGCUCUUUCAAUUCCAAUACCAAGUUCAAUACAUCCAUGACAAGUCUUGCCGGAAUGAUACAGAUCUUGCAGCACCUUGAACACCCCUUUCAGAAAUUUGAGGACAAUCUUCCACAGUCAAGAAUUCCAACUUGUGUGAGUUAACAAGAGGCUUUAACCCAUCAUCUGUAAUUCCCAAACACUUUCUUAACCGUAAUAUGCACAAGCAAGGAAACUGGCCCACAAUCUGCAGCCCCUCAUCACUGAUUUCUUGGCAUCUGGCUAGCUCCAAGGUUUCCAGAUACGGAGCUGAGCAAAGAGCUUCCAUCCCAGCGUCAUUGAAGGAAUAAACAUGGUCAAGAGCAAGUUCCCUAAUAGGGCACAUCUGAAUCAAAGCAAGGAUUCCACUUAAAGUAAACGACGAAAUGGAAGGAAACUCCCCAUCUGAAAAAGAAAUCCGGACAGAUUCAAGCACUGGACAGUUUUGAGCCAAAGCUUUAAGACUUUCAUCUGUUAACCUCAAAGGGUUGUUCAGCAGAAGUGGCAAGGAGAAAUCAGAAGGAACUCGAAGAGAAAUUGAACGAAGAUUUCUUGAUUUUUGGGCUAAGCCUAUCAUGUCACAGUCCCUCACCCCAACACACAUGUCCAAAUGGAUCUUUUCCAAAUUUUUGCACUUUCCCAACACACAAGCAAGCCCUCUCCCUGGGCUGAUGAUGCAAUUAACAAGGCUAAGUUCCAACAUAGACUCACAUGGGACCAAUUGCUUUUGCCAUCGAUCUACAGCUAACCGAUCAUAAACCUUCAUAUAUCUGUAAUUGGCAUCCACUUCAAACUGCAAUUUUUUUAGUUUUUGCCAGCUAGAUCCCAGCUUAAUCAAAUCACCCUCCCCAAUCACUCUACAAUUCUUAAUUGAAAGUUCUUCAAGUGUUUCAAGCUUGGCAAGAUAUUCCAGCCAUUCAACACUGGUAACAUUGAGACACCGGUUAAGGUGGAGAAUGGUGAGUUUUUUGCAACCCACAACAAGAGAUAAGAUGCCACAACCAGUUAUUCUUGGUGUGAAAUUCAACUUCAAGGCUGAAAGCUUGGAGCAAGAAGCCAAAUAGCGAAGUCCCACAUCAGUAAUGAAUGUGCAAUAGCUUAAAGUGAGAUCAAUCAAGGAUGGGCAGUUGUUAGCAAGAAUCACAAGCCCUUGGUCAUCUAAUUGCUUUCCUAGCUUGGACAUCCAACCAGCAUAAGUUAUUUCUACUUUUACCAAGUUAGGAAAUCUAUUGCAGAGUGAAGUCAGAGCUUGAUUAGCAGGAUCCAAUCCACAACCGAACCUAAGAGAAUGUCUCUGUUCACUAUCCAAUUCAUAAAGACGCUUACAUGCCAAUGAAGCAGAGUUUCUAUCAACAGUUUUCUUGACUCUGCUCAAGAUCUCCCAAACCAAUUGGUCUGGUAAGUUAUCCAUCGAAAGCAGAUUUCUUUCUCAGCUUGAUAAAAGAAAUCUACAAAAUAUUGGAAAAAAAAAUCAAUGCAAGAACCAAGAUAAAACUCUCAAUCUAAUAACGAAGAAGGAAAUAAUUGUUCAAAUAUACAAAUAAUUACUCAUAUAUAUCCAUAUUGACACAAUUAUUUCACCAAAAUAAAUAGAUAGAUGCAACAAUUAAAAGAGAACAAAUAAAAGCUUAAACUUGGUCCUCUCUUAAAUGAAAACAAGAUCAAAUAAUUCGAAAAGGGAUAUCACCAGUAUCUUCUCAUGAACGUUUCCACAAUGUGUAACACCCUGAAAAGAGAGAACCAGGAGAAUUGGAUGAUGCAAAUUGUCAGUAGUUUUGGAUUUACUGAGGCUUUUGGAUAUUUGACGAAGAUGUAAUCUUAAAAUGCUGUGCUGGGUGUGUUUCGCUGGGUCCUAAUAUCUCAUCGUACGGAUGCUCUUGCCGGUUCCCAUGGGAUGAAGAGAAGCAAUAUUGCACUGUUACAAAAAUAUCCAUCUGCCUUGAAUUGCG